GUAAGGGAAGCUAAAAUAAAAUUAGCAUCUAACUGUUAAUUAGAAGGUUGCCAUUUAGGGCCCCCUACA
rnacentral:tRNA from 1 species